rnacentral:rRNA from 1 species
UACAGAGGUCCCGAGCGUUGUUCGGAUUUAUUGGGCGUAAAGGGUGCGCAGGCUGUAUGGUAAGUUUGGUGUGAAAUCCUGGGGCUUAACCCCAGAAUUGCACUGAAUACUGCCGUGCUAGAGGACUGGAGAGGAGAUUGGAAUUCACGGUGUAGCAGUGAAAUGCGUAGAUAUCGUGAGGAAGACCAGUGGCGAAGGCGAAUCUCUGGACAGUUCCUGACGCUCAUGCACGAAGGCCAGGGGAGCAAACGGG